rnacentral:rRNA from 1 species
GAUGAACGCUGGCGGCGUGCCUAAUACAUGCAAGUCGAGCGAACAGAUGAGGCUCUUGCUCCUCUUUCGUUAGCGGCGGACGGGUGAUUCACACGUGUCUAACCUACCUAUAAGACUGGCAUACCUUCGGGAAACCGGAUCUCAUACCGGUUAAUCUAUUGAACCGCAUGGUUCAAUAGUGAAAGCCGUUUUUGCUGUCACUUAUUGAUGUUUCCUCGCCGCAUUAGCUAGUUGGUAAGGUAACGGCUUACCAAGGCAACGAUGCGUAGCCGACCUGAGAGGGUGAUCGGCCACACUGGAACUGAGACACGGUCCAGACUCCCACGGGAGGCAGCAGUAGGGAAUAUUCCGCAAUGGGCGAAAGCCUGACGGAGCAACGCCGCGUGAGUGAUGAAGGUCUUCGGAUCGUAAAACUCUGUUAUUAGGGAAGAACAAAUGUGUAAGUAACUAUGCACGUCUUGACGGUACCUAAUCAGAAAGCCACGGCUAACUACGUG